UAGUCUCGCCGCCACAAGGUGGCCCUGCUGCGCACACAAGGAGUAUAUGGGUCAAGGUUUAGCAUGGUACUGGAGCAGCUCGGUUUAGGGCCAAGGUUAGGGGGAAUUCGAUGGGGAAACAGACUUCAACACAACACUGGCUGACAGAUGUUGACGUUAGAAGUCGGGCUAACCAAGCCGUGGAUGUAACUUACCAAAGCUGCUGGAAACAGGCCUCAUCCAACCUUACACCAUUGAUGUAGACUUCGUGCCCUCAGGCAGCCCACUGCAGGUGCAGGUCUUGUCAUCAGAAAGGAAGACAACAGGAAACGGGCUUUGAAGCCGCUCUCUCCGGUGAGUCCUGUGGGCCCUUCAGGCAGUGUGCACUUUGACACAGGACAAGCUUGUAGUCUGUCACUUCCAAACUCCUGCAGGCCAGGUCAGACAUCAGCCAACAGAGGUGCCGAGGAAGGUGAUGAAAGAGGAGGAAAAUGGAGGGAAAAUAAACUGAAGAAAGUGCUCAGAGACCCGUCAGACUCCCCCCCCCACAGUGUGUUGAUAUAUUGGCCUAACCUUUAUGGCUAGAUUUCUCACUCUCUGUCUCACUGCUAUGCCCUCAUUAUGGUGCUUGGACUGGUGUCUGGAUUGUCAGCCAUGGACAGAUUUUUGUACAGACUAAUACAAUCUUAAAACUCAAAUCUUUGUGAAACCAUACACCAAGUGGUGAAAACCAGGUGCUGAUUGGGUCCUCUCCUGUUGGCUGGCCUUUGUUGCCAGGCACUGUCACUCUGUAUGGAGUACAACCAACAAGUUCUCAUACGUACCUAAAUAACAGGUACAUAAACAAUAAACUAACUAUGUUAUGUUCAAAGGACUAUAAACUGUACCUAAAACAAUUGUUUUCUGAUAUGCUGCCCCUAUGGUUAAAUUUUAAGUUGCGGUAGCUAAAACUACUUCAUUAAAGAGUAACUAAACUCCCAAACCACUUUUUCAGUUGAAAACCAAUGUAUAUGGGUACUUAGUAUUGUUGUUAAUGGAUUCAGAUCCAAAUCUUGACAUUUUAGUGCAAGUAUUUCAAUUGUACAUAUUGUGUUAUAAAUAUGAAUAGCGACUGCUGUCUAUAGUUUGAAACCUGGCUAUUGCAAUUGAAUUUUGCUAUCGGUUGAUCUGGAGGCAGGUGAUGUAUAUGGAGGCAGCUUUUGUCAUAUAAAUUAUAUUUCCUGGCUGCAAAGUUUACUCUAUUUUUGCUAACCCUCUACUUAGUAUUUUUCUAUUUUGGCGCAAUGGUUUGGACUUGUGCUUUUAAUGACUGUAGAAGCACCACCAGACUGCAUUCUUUCCCUUGAUGAAUUUGAUAAACAGCAGGGCUAUGGCUACGUACUGACACUCUCCCACAGACACACACACCGUUAGCUCAGCUACAACACUGGUCCCACACAGAAACAUUUAUAAAGGUCCGUCAACGUGCUUCUAGUGACUGUCAAAGCUUCAAUGGAGUCUCUGUGUUUCCAGCGUGGACAUGCAGAGGCUGACAGCAACUGCUUAUGGCUGGUUAGUGCCGCCGCGCUGAGUACCAGCUCUAUGGCUAGCUGCGGUGGUCAGUCUGU